rnacentral:lncRNA from 1 species
AUGAAGCUCUCAGAAACGGCGAGCAUGAGAAAAGUUUCAGCCGUGAACAGUUUAAGGCAGUCAGCAGCUAAAGACCAAGGGAUCUCUGCUUUAUAUAUAGUCAUGCCUUCCUUUCCACUCAAGAUCACGCUCUAUAAAUACCUUCAAGGUAAUGAUAUAAAUGAAGGAAGGGAAUUAUUCGCAGUCUCCAAAGAUGGCAGGAUACACAGCAGUGUCCUGAAGCUAUGGAAGGAAAUAUUUAGGCUAGAUCACGCACGGCAGGAUGGAAAAGGGAGGGGGAGAAAAACAGGGAGAAUGUCUUUAAUACAAGAGGACAACGGGGAGAAGAGCAGAGGCAGCAGCAGACACCUCCAGGGCACGCUCGGAGGGCGAGCUGGAUGCGAGGGUUUGCAAGGGAUCAGCCUCCCCAAACAGAUGCUUUUCCAACCCAGCUUGCGACGGGAGCUCAGGCUGACCCAAAGGCUUCGAGGGCCCCGGCGCAAGGUGGGACAGGAAUGUGAAAUAAAAGCCCUGGGCUCACAAAUCGUCCCUGCAGCAGCCCGGAGGCAGCCCCGAGGAGCAGGGGAGCGGGUCUGCCCCGCAAAUAACCGUGCUCUCAAAGCCUGGGCGCACAAGUCUCCAAAGCAGAAUUUGGGGGAAAAGCAGGUACUUGGAAACAACAGGAAAGAGCCCCCCGCCCRUAACACAAGAUGGAAAAAGCCGGUCUCCCCUUCCUCGCAUCCUUCAGCCAAGCCUUUCGCUCACCUCGGCGCCGCUCCCUGCCAGCGGCUCCCGUCCCCGCGUCCCCCACCCCAGGCUGCGGCGCGGCGGAGGAGCAGGGAGUGCGCAGUGCCCCGGGAAGGCUGGGUGGCUGCCAUGCGGCUCGUGACUGCCCACGCGACCRUGAACAACGCGCGCCAGCCGCGGCUCAGAGUUUCCCCUGGCAGUGGCACUUCCCCAAGCAGGAAAAGACCCAGGAUCGGCCCCAGCAGCGCCCCGAGCAGGGAGACGCUGCCUCCCGCCGCCACCGCCGGCUCCUCCGCUUGGGGGAAGAGGGCAACUGUGAUUUCCAGGACUUUGGGUUUAAUCGGCUAA